GGAGGAUUCGCCUAGUGGCCUAGGGCGCACGCUUGGAAAGCGUGUUGGGAUAAAACCCUCACGAGUUCGAAUCUCGUAUCCUCCG
rnacentral:tRNA from 2 species